GUGGGGAAUCUUGCACAAUGGGGGAAACCCUGAUGCAGCGACGCCGCGUGAGUGAUGAAGCCCUUCGGGGUGUAAAGCUCUUUCGGCGGGAACGAUAAUGACGGUACCCGCAGAAGAAGCUGCGGCUAACUACGUGCCAGCAGCCGCGGUAAUACGUAGGCAGCGAGCGUUGUUCGGAGUUACUGGGCGUAAAGAGUGUGUAGGCGGUUUUCCAAGUUCGGUGUGAAAUCUCCCGGCUCAACCGGGAGGGUGCGCCGAAAACUGGGAGGCUAGAGUGCGGGAGAGGAAAGCGGAAUUCCUGGUGUAGCGGUGAAAUGCGUAGAUAUCAGGAGGAACACCUGUGGUGCAGACAGCUUUCUGGACCGCGACUGACGCUGAGACACGAAAGCGUGGGGAGCAAACAGGAUUAGAAACCCCAGUAGUCC
rnacentral:rRNA from 1 species